rnacentral:rRNA from 1 species
AAUGACUGUAGGUGAAAGCUUACAUCUCUUCGGAGCAUUUUACGAGGUGCUGCAUGGUUGUCGUCAGCUCGUGCCGUGAGGUGUCGGGUUAAGUCCCAUAAACGAGCGCAACCCCUACCUUUAGUUGCCAUCAGGUUAAGCUGGGGACUCUAAAGGAACUGCCUACGCAAGUAGUGAGGAAGGCGGGGAUGACGUCAAAUCAGCACGGCCCUUACGUCCAGGGCUACACACGUGCUACAAUGGCCGAUACAGAGGGCAGCUACCUGGUGACAGGAUGCAAAUCUCCAAAGUCGGUCUCAGUUCGGAUCGGAGUCUGCAACCCGACUCCGUGAAGUUGGAUUCGCUAGUAAUCGCGCAUCAGCCAUGGCGCGGUGAAUACGUUCCCGGGCCUU